GUGGGGAAUAUUGCGCAAUGGGGGAAACCCUGACGCAGCAACGCCGCGUGAGUGAUGAAGGCUUUCGAGUCGUAAAACUCUGUCUUUGGGGACGAAUAAUGACGGUACCCAAGGAGGAAGCCCCGGCUAACUACGUGCCAGCAGCCGCGGUAAUACGUAGGGGGCAAGCGUUGUCCGGAAUCACUGGGCGUAAAGGGCGCGUAGGCGGUUUGUUAAGUCAGGUGUGAAAGUUUUCAGCUUAACUGGAAAAGUGCACUUGAAACUAACUUACUUGAGUACUGGAGAGGUAAGCGGAAUUCCUAGUGUAGCGGUGAAAUGCGUAGAUAUUAGGAAGAACACCGGUGGCGAAGGCGGCUUACUGGACAGAGACUGACGCUGAGGCGCGAAAGCGUGGGGAGCGAACAGGAUUAGAAACCCUUGUAGUCC
rnacentral:rRNA from 1 species